UACGCUGGCGGCGUGCCUAACACAUGCAAGUCUGAGGAGAAUGGGAUUCGCAAGAUCCCUAGUAAACUGGCGAAAGGGUGAGUAACACGUAGGUAACCUACCCCGCAGCGUGGAAUAACACCGGGAAACUGGUGCUAAUACCGCAUGACGUCCCGGGUUCGCAUGGACCUGGAAUCAAAGAGAGCUUCAGCAAUGGAGCAUCGCUGCAGGAUGGACCUGCGUCCUAUUAGUUUGUUGGCGGGGUAACGGCCCACCAAGACUACGAUGGGUAGCUGGUCUGAGAGGAUGAUCAGCCACACUGGCACUGAGACACGGGCCAGACUCCUACGGGAGGCAGCAGUGAGGAAUAUUGGGCAAUGGGCGAAAGCCUGACCCAGCAACGCCGCGUGAGUGAUGAAGUACUGAGGUACGUAAAGCUCUGUUAGGAGGGACGAAUGUCCGGCUUGCCGGAAGUGAUGGUACCUCCAAAGAAAGCUUCGGCUAACUCCGUGCCAGCAGCAGC
rnacentral:rRNA from 1 species